rnacentral:rRNA from 1 species
CACGUAGGGCGCAAGCGUUGUCCGGAAUUAUUGGGCGUAAAGAGCUCGUAGGCGGUCUGUUACGUCUGCUGUGAAAACCCAGGGCUUAACCCUGGGCUUGCAGUGGAUACGGGCAGACUAGAGGCAGGUAGGGGAGAAUGGAAUUCCAGGUGUAGCGGUGAAAUGCGUAGAUAUCUGGAGGAACACCGGUGGCGAAGGCGGCAUCCUGGACCAACACUGACACUGAAAAGCGAAAGCCAGGGGAGCAAACGGG